CUUAACCUCUUCGACAGCAGAAACCACUAUAUCAUACAAAAAAUUAGACACAGAAAACAGUAUGAUUCUCAGAAGUCGGUUUGAGACGUAUCUCCGUCUCCCACAAAGGGAGAUAUCGCGCUACAGCUAUGCGACCAAACGAAAGCAAACUCGACUAAGCCAAGAAAAAGAGAAAGAUCAUGGGGUCCUUUGAUUGUCGUCGGUGGCAGGGUGCACCCGUGGAGAUACAAAUGACAAUGAUACUACUGUAACCGAGCUACUGCGUUCACGGUUAUCAAGCGUUGUGAUCGUCGGGCUACUAGAGGCCUUCUUUUUUCGGCCGACAGUUGGCUAACUCCCACGCGAAAAAAAGCGUAGGCAGUGUAGCAUUUUUAUUAGGGCAAUUCGCCGGGUGCCCACGAGCGCUCGUUGACGUUGCGAUCAUACGUUUCUUUUAAAAUUUUUUUUUCGAGUUGCCACCACUUAGCUCGUUUGGUUAUCAUUGAAGUGAUUUUACUUUGUUCUUGCAUUAUUCUACUAUGCUAUACAAGUAUCCACAUGUAGUAGGUCUAUCUCAAUAUCAAGAUUAUUGUCAACCAUACUCAGUAUCGAAUGGUAGUCAUGAUUUUCGAUGCAACUAUACUGAAGACGCGUAAAUGCAACUUGUGGUCUUUGGGAAGCGUUGUAGUAUUGCACACUGAGAGAUGUCCUCAGGAUAAACAAGCAGGCUUUGUUCUACGCUUAUGAAUAAAACAUUCGAUAGUGCAUCUCCCGGAGCUAUACCGAAAACGGGAACGAGGAGCCUCUGUGGAAAAAAGCAUCAACGAAGAAGGAGAUGGUACGAUACGGAGUCUGGAGGAACACGGUCGACUUCGUGAAGUUAGAAGAGAGAGCGUGGAGAGUGUCUCAAUGUCUCCCAGAAGACUGAACCUAAGCAAUUUGUGCUUUCAUUCGCACAAAGCUCGAGCGCCGAGGAAAAUGCCGGCGUAAAAGAGAAGUUAAAACUAUGCCGUCGUUCUUAUUACUGCCUGGAGCCACCCUGACCUAUCCUGACUCCACCCCUCCCUUACUCGUUUCUUCUUCCUUCCACUCGAGGAAGCUUCCCCCUUUUUUCUCCCCCUCUUUGUUGGCUCCAUCCAUGGCUUCUUCCCUUUUAGUUGUAUCUCGCUUGAAUUAACGGCGCGAGUAACUUUCUUUCCGCUUACUUCGGGCUUGAUUAAAUAAUUUAUAAGCCAACACAGUGGAAUGUCGCGUUACGGAGGGGUGGAUGCUUCUUUUGCCUCGCCUUUGCUGGAUUCUCUCUGUGAUCGUGGAUUGGGGUGGAUUGGAGUUUGCUGUUUUGCGACACGAUGUUUUUCGAGGGAGCGGUGGAAUGGAAACUUUAAAAUUAAGGGAUGGUGUUAGGAUUGUAUUGGUACUUUCAAUUCGUAUUUUUUCUUUCAAUCUUUCGAUAAAGAUUAUUUUGGAACAAAAAUGUAGAAAAACGAUAGAUUAUGACGUUAUUUUUGAUGCAUUGUAUAAAAUUAUCCAAAAAAUGUGAUACAAUUAUUAAAGGAAGAAGCAAAAAUAAAAAUGGAAUGAUCUCAAAAAUCUGUAAACGAUGUUCAAUAUUAUGUGUUGUAAUAUGAGAAACUUCUCGUACACAGGUUUAACGUUGGCAACGAGGAAUCAGGUAUUCCAAGCCGGGAGCAGGGAAUGGAUUACACGUGGAAAAUUAUUCUGGCAAGCGGCAUGUUUCAAACAAUGCGGUCGGUUCCUCGGAACACGACCCGGCGAUAAGCGGCUGCAACGUCGAAAAUCGUAGAUACAAUAACGUAAAUAAUCGUUAGGUAAACAAUAGCGUAGUUGUUGUUCGUUCCUGCAUUGUUUACGCGGCUUGUCAACAUUAUUACAUUUUCGAAAUAAAGCUUUCCAAUGCUUUAAAACGAAACACAAGCAGAAUGAAAUCACGACUCAAAGCGACCACGAAAACCUGAAGUUAUUCGAAGGGAGCAUUCUUAUGACUAACACUGGAAUAUGUCGAAUUUCUCGUGGCGGAGAGCAAAGAAAAAUCAAGGGGGUCGCGAGAAGCACUUUGAUUAAAAUAUGUCGCGCGGUUUUAUUCGCGGCCCAGUUUCCCCCUUAAAACGCAGAAGAGGAUGAAACUUUUUGUUCAGAAUGGAAUUUUGGAAUUGCGAAUGACAAGCGAGAAGCCGCGAGGGUUGUUGCGGCUGACCUAUCUUUUGAUGUUCGCCUUUUGGAGGAAGAAAUCUCUGUUUAUUACAAAAUUGAGAUUCUUUCAAAUGAUAUUGUCAAAGAUAUUUUCAAUGUUUGAGGAUACUGAUAAUUUUAUUGAUCAGUAAGGUUUCUUUUAUAUAACAUAUUCAUAGGAAAUGAUGGUUGGAAUCGUGAUGGCAAUAUCGCGAAACACGUGAGAAUCUUUUCUAUAGGCUAACGACAAAGGCUAACGUAACAGGCGAAUGUAAUUACAGUUUCCUCGUUAUUUUCCGUCACGAAUGCGGAGCAGAAAACUCGGUGAAACUUAUCUUGCGUAACGAUUGUUCAUGAUUCGUAACGAAACACGCGUGGCACGUUCAGGGAAGUAUCGAUCACAAUUCGUGUGAAUCUGAAAGCAAAAAUGCCGAAGAAUUAUGAUUAAUUUUUUACAUUUAUAUAAUUUUUGUAUAAAUAUAUUUUUGCACAAAGAUAGAAAGAUAUUAAAAUAUUGUUAAAAUAUUCGAUAAUACCGAUUAAAAGUGCAAGUGUUCAAAUGUACACGCAUCUUCAUAACAGAUUGUUUUCAUUAACUAUGUUCCCUUGGCAUGUCUAAACGUUGAAUCACAUCGAUCAAAUAGGGUUCACGGUGUGACUGCGACACGUCGAGUUGACAAAGAAUGAUCGUGCGUCGAGCCACGUGUGUUUCUUAUACCAUGAUUGCUGGUUACUUUACAUUUGUCUACGUGAUUUUACUUGCUAUGCGUCACAUUCGUGCAGUCCAUCAAUAAACUUGUUUAUAUGGAUCAUAUAUUUUAUUUUUUCUUUGUUUGUAGUUUGUAUAAAGAUUAAACUAUCACCAAAAACAUUAUAUACUUUA
rnacentral:lncRNA from 1 species